rnacentral:rRNA from 1 species
CCUGAUCCAGCCAUGCCGCGUGUGUGAAGAAGGCCCUCGGGUUGUAAAGCACUUUCAGCGAGGAAGAACGCCUGGCGGUUAAUACCCGCCAGGAAAGACAUCACUCGCAGAAGAAGCACCGGCUAACUCCGUGCCAGCAGCCGCGGUAAUACGGAGGGUGCAAGCGUUAAUCGGAAUUACUGGGCGUAAAGCGCGCGUAGGUGGCUUGAUAAGCCGGUUGUGAAAGCCCCGGGCUCAACCUGGGAACGGCAUCCGGAACUGUCAGGCUAGAGUGCAGGAGAGGAAGGUAGAAUUCCCGGUGUAGCGGUGAAAUGCGUAGAGAUCGGGAGGAAUACCAGUGGCGAAGGCGGCCUUCUGGACUGACACUGACACUGAGGUGCGAAAGCGUGGGUAGCAAACAGGAUUAGAUACCCUGGUAGUCCACGCCGUAAACGAUGUCGACCAGCCGUUGGGUGCCUAGCGCACUUUGUGGCGAAGUUAACGCGAUAAGUCGACCGCCUGGGGAGUACGGCCGCAAGGUUAAAACUCAAAUGAAUUGACGGGGGCCCGCACAAGCGGUGGAGCAUGUGGUUUAAUUCGAUGCAACGCGAAGAACCUUACCUACCCUUGACAUCCUGCGAACCCGGAAGAGAUUCCGGGGUGCCUUCGGGAACGCAGAGACAGGUGCUGCAUGGCUGUCGUCAGCUCGUGUUGUGAAAUGUUGGGUUAAGUCCCGUAACGAGCGCAACCCUUGUCCUUAUUUGCCA